rnacentral:lncRNA from 1 species
UAUCUCGCUCCAGGCCCCGCAGGGUGGACAGGCACAUAAAGGACUCCUGCUAGGUCCCUUUGACCAGCCUUUACUUCAGAAACCCUUUUAAGCUAAUUUUUCCUGACAUUUCCAACAGGCCUUUGAAAAUGCAGUGACUGAGAGAGCAACCAUGUGCUCCAUAACAUGCUCCCGAGUAGGGGGCGUUACUACAUCUAAUCUCCACCUUCUGCCUUGGACCUGAAUCUUCCGGGCAGCAAACAGCUAAGAAGAUUAAGAAGCAAAUGCUGGAAGGCCGGAUGUGUGCAGUGAGGAGAAGGCAUUGGUGAAAAUCAUGGUGACAAAACAUUAGCUGUGCUGAAAACAUUAGCACUGGAAAAGACGUUGGUGACCCUCACCAAAAUUCCUCAUCAACUGAAGCCCAGGGAGAGGCUCAGGGAUUCUCUCAAGCUGGUUGAUUGUCAAACGACGUAUAUAAGAUGUGGCCACAAUGCAUUCUGAGAAACAGUCUUUGCGGUCUUUGGCCACGCCCAGAACCCUCGUCUGCUCUGUCUCUCCUCCCAGACAGACACUCCCGAGUUCAUGUCGGGAGAAGGAUGGCUCCCAGCUCCCCAGGGG